rnacentral:rRNA from 1 species
GACGAACGCUGGCGGCGUGCUUAACACAUGCAAGUCGAACGGUAAGGCCCUUCGGGGUACACGAGUGGCGAACGGGUGAGUAACACGUGGGUGAUCUGCCCUGCACUUCGGGAUAAGCCUGGGAAACUGGGUCUAAUACCGGAUAGGACCACUGCCUGCAUGGGUGGUGGUGGAAAGCUUUUGCGGUGUGGGAUGGGCCCGCGGCCUAUCAGCUUGUUGGUGGGGUGAUGGCCUACCAAGGUGACGACGGGUAGCCGGCCUGAGAGGGUGACCGGCCACACUGGGACUGAGAUGCGGCCCAGACUCCUACGGGAGGCAGCAGUGGGGAAUAUUGCACAAUGGGCGCAAGCCUGAUGCAGCGACGCCGCGUGGGGGAUGACGGCCUUCGGGUUGUAAACCUCUUUCAGCACCGACGAAGCGCAAGUGACGGUAGGUGCAGAAGAAGGACCGGCCAACUACGUGCCAGCAGCCGCGGUAA